rnacentral:rRNA from 1 species
UGGGGAAUCUUGAACAAUGGGGGCAACCCUGAUGCAGCGACGCCGCGUGAGCGAUGAAGCCCUUCGGGGCGUAAAGCUCUUUCGACCGGAACGAUAAUGACGGUACCGGGAGAAGAAGCUGCGGCUAACUACGUGCCAGCAGCCGCGGUAAUACGUAGGCAGCAAGCGUCGUUCGGAGUUACUGGGCGUAAAGAGUGCGUAGGCGGUUUUCUAAGUUCGGUGUGAAAUCUCCCGGCUUAACUGGGAGGGUGCGCCGAAGACUGGGAAGCUGGAGUGUGGGAAAGGCAGGCGGAAUUCCUGGUGUAGCGGUGAAAUGCGUAGAUAUCAGGAGGAACACCGGCGGUGUAGACGGCUUGCUAGACCAUAACUGACGCUGAGGCACGAAAGCGUGGGUAGCAAACA